GACGAACGCUGGCGGCGUGCUUAACACAUGCAAGUCGAACGGAAAGGCCUGCUUUCCCUUGUGGAUUGCGGGUACUCGAGUGGCGAACGGGUGAGUAACACGUGAGUGAUCUGCCCCCAACUUGGGUAUAAGCCUGGGAAACUGGGUCUAAUUCCCGAUAGGACUGCAGGGUGGUGCCUGUGGUGGAAAACGAUUUUCUAGUGGUUGGGGAUGAGCUCGCGGCCUAUCAGCUUGUUGGUGGGGUAAUGGCCUACCAAGGCGGCGACGGGUAGCCGGCCUGGGAGGGUGGACGGCCACAUUGGGACUGGGAUACGGCCCAGACUCCUACGGGAGGCAGCAGUGGGGAAUAUUGCACAAUGGGCGGAAGCCUGAUGCAGCGACGCCGCGUGGGGGAUGACGGGCUUCGGGUUGUAAACUCCUUUCGACCGCGAGGAAGCCACCUGGUUGGAAGGGUGGUGACGGUAGUGGUAGAAGAAGCACCGGCUAACUACGUG
rnacentral:rRNA from 1 species